rnacentral:rRNA from 1 species
GCCAGCCCGCUCAGAAACUUAAAUGAAUUGACGGGGCCCGCACAAGCGGUGGAGUAUGUGGUUUAAUUCGAUGCAACGCGAAGAACCUUACCUGGUCUUGACAUCCCGGAGACCCUUAGGAAACUAGGGGGUGCUUCCAUCUGGAAGAAUCUGGAGACAGGUGCUGCAUGGCUGUCGUCAGCUCGUGUCGUGAGAUGUUGGGUUAAGUCCCGCAACGAGCGCAACCCUUGCCUUUAGUUGCCAGCAGUUCGGCUGGGCACUCUAAAGGGACUGCCGGUGUUAAACCGGAGGAAGGUGGGGAUGACGUCAAGUCCUCAUGGCCUUUAUGACCAGGGCUACACACGUACUACAAUGGCCGAUACAAAGGGCAGCGACACUGCGAGGUGAAGCCAAUCCCGUAAAAUCGGUCUCAGUCCGGAUUGGAGUCUGCAACUCGACUCCAUGAAGUUGGAAUCGCUAGUAAUCGUGGAUCAGCAUGCCACGGUGAAUACGUUCCCGGGCCUU